CUCAUUCUGUCGUACACCUCUCGUAACCCUACCGAGCUGCCGAAUGAAAUCCCCGUUUUCUUCUCCUUUUCUGUUCCUUUUUCUUCCCUUUCCCUUUGAUUGUCUUCCCCUUUUCCGAUCUCUUCUCCUUCCUCUUCACUCUUAACCAAAAUGAAACAUUUUCCUCCCUUUUUCGAAGCAUCGAGUCGUGUUCGUCUUCGGCCCACGUCCUAUUCUCUCUUAUUCUUUUGUUCAUGCCUUUGAAUCCCAUUUUCGUUUUGCGAUGGUUGCGUUUCGACGCUGCCUCCGAAACGGUUCGAUCAAAAUCCUUCUUCUGUUUUUGUUAACCAGUUGUGAUGCAUGUCGUUACCUAUGAAACGUUUCUCAUCCUCUCUCCAUCUUUCCAUACGCUUGGUCUUCCGAUGAACCCUUGUCGAUCCUAAAAUGAGUUUAUUGCACUUUUCUUUCCACGAAACAGCCAUUACGGUGACAGAUGCUACACUAAAAUAGUGAAAGGAAUCGAAGUAGGGGCAUGGUGGAGCAUGGUAAGGGUCUUCGGUCUACUCCGAAGGAAUUUCUUAACUCUGAGGCUACUUUCUUUCCCUUUCAUUAUCUAACGCUUCUGUUAUUUAUUGGUAUUUUACAUGCAUUUGUAAGGUUCUCCUUGCAGUUAAGGUUGUCGCACUUAAACAAUUCGUAAACGAGGUAGUACGGCUAUAAACCUUUUUCAUUUAUAUAGUCGGUUCUUUGUGUGGUCUACUUAAUUGAAUUUUGUAAUAAAUUCAUUUCUUUCCUUCGUCUUAAUGUUUGUUUAUUAAAAGCUUUGUAUAAAUUAUGUAAAUUAAUUGUUAUUUGCUUACUAUGUUAUUUGCUUACUAUGUACAAUUAUAAUUUUGUUUAUUAAUUCAUUUGCAUACUAC